rnacentral:rRNA from 1 species
AUUGAACGCUGGCGGCAGGCCUAACACAUGCAAGUCGAGCGGAUGAAGGGAGCUUGCUCCUGGAUUCAGCGGCGGACGGGUGAGUAAUGCCUAGGAAUCUGCCUGGUAGUGGGGGAUAACGUCCGGAAACGGGCGCUAAUACCGCAUACGUCCUGAGGGAGAAAGUGGGGGAUCUUCGGACCUCUAUCAGAUGAGCCUAGGUCGGAUUAGCUAGUUGGUGGGGUAAAGGCCUACCAAGGCGACGAUCCGUAACUGGUCUGAGAGGAUGAUCAGUCACACUGGAACUGAGACACGGUCCAGACUCCUACGGGAGGCAGCAGUGGGGAAUAUUGGACAAUGGGCGAAAGCCUGAUCCAGCCAUGCCGCGUGUGUGAAGAAGGUCUUCGGAUUGUAAAGCACUUUAAGUUGGGAGGAAGGGCAGUAAGUUAAUACCUUGCUGUUUUGACGUUACCAACAGAAUAAGCACCGGCUAACUUCGUG